GAUGAACGCUAGCGGCAGGCCUAACACAUGCAAGUCGAGGGGCAUCAUGGCGUAGCAAUACGCUGAUGGCGACCGGCGCACGGGUGCGUAACGCGUAUGGAACCUACCCACCGCAGGGGGAUAACCCGCCGAAAGGCGGACUAAUACCCCAUGGUUCCCCGACCCUGCCUGGGGUUGGGGGUAAAGGACCUACGGGCGGCGGUGGAUGGCCCUCGCGUGCCAUUAGCUGGCUGGUGGGGUAACGGCCCACCAGGGCGACGAUGGCUAGGGGUCGUGAGAGGACGAUCCCCCACACUGGUACUGAGACACGGCCCAGACUCCUACGGGAGGCAGCAGUGGGGAAUAUUGGGCAAUGGGGGCGAACCCUGACGCAGCAACGCCGCGUGAGUGAGGAAGGUUUUCGGACCGUAAAGCUCUGUCGAGCGGGAAGAAAUGCAUGGUGGCUAAUAUCCAUCAUGCUUGACGGUACCGCUAAAGGAAGCACCGGCUAACUCCGUGCCAGCAGCCGCGGUAAU
rnacentral:rRNA from 1 species